rnacentral:rRNA from 1 species
GGCCUGCCCACUGAUAUAUUUUAAAGGGCCGCGGUAUACUGACCGUGCGAAGGUAGCAUAAUCAUUAGUCUUUUAAUUGAAGGCUCGUAUGAACGGUCGGACAAAAAGCAAGCUGUCUCAGUUGUAAAAGUUGAAUUUAACUUUUGAGUGAAAAGGCUCAAAUGGUCUGGGGGGACGAUCAGACCCUAUUAAGCUUGACUAGUAUUUAUUUAAAUUACAAACUGUCAGUAUAACGUAAUCUUAAAUAAAAGUUGUUUCGUUGGGGCGACGGGAAUAUAAACAAUAACUGUUCUUUUGAUUAUCUUACAAAAAUAAUUGGUAAAUAAGUGAUCCUUUAUUAAAGAUUAAAAGAUUAAGUUACUUUAGGGAUAACAGCGUAAUCUUCUUUGAGAGUCCCCAUCGACAAGAAGGUUUGCGACCUCGAUGUUGCAUUAAGGUUUCCUUAUAAUGCAGCAAUUUAAAAG